rfam:Triticum aestivum genome assembly, contig: Triticum_aestivum_CS42_TGACv1_scaffold_094320_2AL
CAACUACUCCCUCCGUUCCAAAUUACUCAUCGCUAAAAUGGAUGUAUCUAGAACUAAAAUACAUCUAGAUACAUCCAUAUGUGCGACAAGUAAUUCGGAACGGACGGAGUAUAUA